rnacentral:lncRNA from 10 species
CAUUUUAUAGGAUUUGGGUAGGUAAAGGAAAAUUAUAGUCAAUGGGGGUUUGUUCUCUGGCGGGCAGGAGUGGCGGUCGCAAGGUGCUCAGUGGGGGUGCUUUUUGAGCCAGGAUGAGCCAGGAAAAGGACUUUCACAAGGAGUGUCUAUACAGGAGCUUAAAUGGGCUGUACCCUGUAGCAUUCCGAGGACAGGCCUGGAUUCUGAGAAGG